UGGGGAAUAUUGGACAAUGGGCGCAAGCCUGAUCCAGCAAUGCCGCGUGUGUGAAGAAGGCCUGCGGGUUGUAAAGCACUUUCGGUUGGGAAGAAGCUUUGUUGGUUAACACCCAAUUAAGUUGACACUACCUUCAGAAGAAGCACCGGCUAACUCCGUGCCAGCAGCCGCGGUAAUACGGAGGGUGCGAGCGUUAAUCGGAAUUACUGGGCGUAAAGCGCGCGUAGGCGGUUGUGUAAGUCGGAUGUGAAAGCCCUGGGCCUAACCUAGGAACUGCAUUCGAUACUGCACGGCUAGAGUAUGGUAGAGGAAAGCGGAGUUCCCGGUGUAGCGGUGAAAUGCGUAGAUAUCGGGAGGAACAUCAGUGGCGAAGGCGGCUUUCUGGACCAAUACUGACGCUGAGGUGCGAAAGCGUGGGUAGCAAACAGG
rnacentral:rRNA from 1 species